rnacentral:rRNA from 1 species
AAGCGGCAACAGCUCAAAUUUGAAAUCUGGCCUUCUUUGGGGGUCCGAGUUGUAAUUUGCAGAGGGCGCUUUGGCGUCGGCAGCGGUCUAAGUUCCUUGGAACAGGACGUCACAGAGGGUGAGAAUCCCGUAUGUGGUCGCCUGCCUUCGCCGUGUAAAGCCCCUUCGACGAGUCGAGUUGUUUGGGAAUGCAGCUCUAAAUGGGAGGUAAAUUUCUUCUAAAGCUAAAUACUGGCCAGAGACCGAUAGCGCACAAGUAGAGUGAUCGAAAGAUGAAAAGCACUUUGGAAAGAGAGUCAAACAGCACGUGAAAUUGUUGAAAGGGAAGCGCUUGCCGCCAGACUUGCCCGUGAAGGUUCUCCUCCUCGGGCAGGCCAGCAUCAGUUUGAGCGAUCGGAUAAUGGCCUCUGUCAUGUAUCUUCCUUCGGGAUGACCUUAUAGGGGAGUCGUAGUACGGUCAGCUUGGACUGAGGUCCGCGCAUUUGCUAGGAUGCUGGCGUAAUGGCUGCAAGCGGCCCGUCUUGAAACACGGACCAAGGAGUCUAACAUCUAUGCGAGUGUUUGGGUGUCAAGCCCGAGCGCGCAAUGAAAGUGAACGGAGGUGGGAACCCUCUCUGGGGGUGCACCAUCGACCGAUCCUGAAGUCUUCGGAUGGAUUUGAGUAAGAGCAUGGCUGUUGGGACCCGAAAGAUGGUGAACUAUGCUUGAAUAGGGUGAAGCCAGAGGAAACUCUGGUGGAGGCUCGCAGCGGUUCUGACGUGCAAAUCGAUCGUCAAAUUUGGGCAUAGGGGCGAAAGACUAAUCGAACUAUCUAGUAGCUGGUUCCUGCCGAAGUUUCCCUCAGGAUAGCAGUAACGUAUUCAGUUUUAUGAGGUAAAGCGAAUGAUUAGAGGCCUGGGGGUUGAAACAACCUUCACCUAUUCUCAAACUUUAAAUAUGUAAGAAGUCCUUGUUACUUGAUUGAACGUGGACAUUUGAAUGUACCGUUACUAGUGGGCCAUUUUUGGUAAGCAGAACUGGCGAUGCGGGAUGAACCGAACGCGGGGUUAAGGUGCCGGAAUGCACGCUCAUCAGACACCACAAAAGGUGUUAGUUCAUCUAGACAGCAGGACGGUGGCCAUGGAAGUCGGAAUCCGCUAAGGAGUGUGUAACAACUCACCUGCCGAAUGAACUAGCCCUGAAAAUGGAUGGCGCUUAAGCGUGCUACCCAUACCCCGCCGCUGGGGCAGACGUUAUGCCCCAGCGAGUAGGCAGGCGUGGAGGUCCGUGACG